rnacentral:rRNA from 1 species
UAACGGCCCACCAAGACUGUGAUCCUUAGGGGUUCUGAGAGGAAGGUCCCCCACACUGGCACUGAGAUACGGGCCAGACUCCUACGGGAGGCAGCAGUAGGGAAUAUUGGGCAAUGGGCGGGAGCCUGACCCAGCCAUGCCGCGUGCAGGAAGAAGGCGUUAUGCGUUGUAAACUGCUUUUAUACGGGAAGAAAAGGCCCAUGCGUGGGACAUUGCCGGUACCGUAUGAAUAAGCACCGGCUAACUCCGUGCCAGCAGCCGCGGUAAUACGGAGGGUGCAAGCGUUGUCCGGAUUUAUUGGGUUUAAAGGGUGCGUAGGCGGCCCGUUAAGUCAGCGGUGAAAGUCUGUGGCUCAACCAUAGAAGCGCCGUUGAUACUGAUGGGCUUGAGUGCCGUAUGGGUACAUGGAAUUGAUGGUGUAGCGGUGAAAUGCAUAGAUACCAUCAGGAACACCGAUAGCGUAGGCAUUGUACUGUGCGGCAACUGA